rnacentral:lncRNA from 1 species
AUGGGGACAUGCUGGCACGUUACUGGGUUGUACUGUGACAUUGCUGGGGCGCUGGUGGGUGGUCAGGGGACAUACUGGGAUUUGUUGGGAUGCUCUGGGACCUCCUGGCACAUCAAAGGGGGUGCCAGGCCGCACCCCAGCCCCCUCAUUCCCCCCACCAGGCCUGGCAGACCGGCAGGAGAAGGCACUGGUGGAGAUCCUGGCAGCCAGUGUGGUCCAGGCAGCCGAGGGGCAGCCCCCAGUGGGCCGCAGCCUGGCCAAGAAGCCCUCAGCCCGGGAGCGCAAGGCACAGGCAGAGGAGAGAACCCGGCUCACCCACUGCCUCAUCCCAGCCCUGCCCCAGCUGCUGGCCAAGGUGAGGGGGACGGAGCUCCCCACCACCCCCGGGGACCUUGGGGGGUUGGCACUGACCCCCUUCCCCCACUGCCCUCCCUCCAGUUCUCAGCUGAUGCUGAGAAGGCGGCUCCACUCCUAGAGGUGCUGCGCUGCUUCGAUCUCAGCAUAUACUGCACUGGGCGGCUGGAGAAGGUGCUGUUCCCUCACCCCUCAGGCAGGAUCCGGCCCCCUGGGGCUGGGGCAGAGCCACUCUGCCCCUGGGAAAUGGGGCUGCAGGGAUGGGAUGCCGAUGGGUCCCCCAGGUGUCCCCUUCAGGAUGCUCUGUGUCCCCGUCCCCAUUGGGAGGCCGUGUGCCUGUGCCCCCAUCAAGGGGCUGUCUCUGUCCCCCUGGGGGGCCCAUGGCUGUCUUCAUCCUCUCGGGAGGGCGGGACGGACCAUACCUUCCUGCAGGAGGCUGCAAGUCCCCUUGUCCCGAUGGGAGGCCCCCUGACCCUUGUCCCUGGGGAGGUGGCGUGUCCCUGUCCCUCCCACAGCCCCCUCUCCCCGCAGCACCUGGAGCUGGUGCUGGGGCAGCUGCAGGAGGUGGUGGAGAAGCACACGGGGCAGGCAGUGCUGGAGGCUGCGUCCCGCGCGCUCCACGCGCUCUGCGACCCUGAGCUCGCCCUGCACGGCCGUGGGGACCUGGUGCGCAGCCGCCUUGCCGACCAGCUGGCCGACAAGUUCCACCAGGAGGUCACCGAGCUGCUUCAGGUAGAGGGGAUGAGAGAGGGACCCUGAGUCUGGGACAGGGCUGGGGACCGCUGGGG